rnacentral:rRNA from 1 species
UACGGGGGGGGUAAGCGUUGUUCGGAAUUACUGGGCGUAAAGGGCUCGUAGGCGGCCAACUAAGUCAUACGUGAAAUCCCUCAGCUUAACUGGGGAACUGCGUGUGAUACUGGAUGGCUUGGAUUUGGGAGAGGGAUGCGGAAUUCCAGGUGUAGCGGUGAAAUGCGUAGAUAUCUGGAGGAACACCGGUGGCGAAGGCGGCAUUCUGGACCAUAACUGACACUGAGAGACGAAAGCCAGGGGAGCAAACGGG